rnacentral:rRNA from 1 species
GAUGAACGCUGGCGGCGUGCUUAACACAUUCAAGUCGAACGAAGCACUGAGAAGGAAGUCUUCGGAUGGAAUUUUCUUUGACUGAGUGGCGGACGGGUGAGUAACGCGUGAGCAACCUGCCUUUGUGAGGGGAAUAACGUUGGGAAACCGGCGCUAAUACCGCAUAAUGUAUCCGGAGGGCAUCCUCUGGAUACCAAAGCUUAAUGUGCUGAAAGAUGGUCUCGCGUCUGAUUAGCUAGAUGGCGGGGUAACGGCCCACCAUGGCGACGAUCAGUAGCCGGUCUGAGAGGAUGAACGGCCACAUUGGGACUGAGACACGGCCCAGACUCCUACGGGAGGCAGCAGUGGGGAAUAUUGCACAAUGGGCGCAAGCCUGAUGCAGCAACGCCGCGUGAGGGAAGAAGGUCUUCGGAUUGUAAACCUUGUUUUAGUGAAGAAAAAAUGACGGUAGCUAAAGAGGAAGCCACGGCUAACUACGUGCCAGCAGCCG